UACGUAGGGUCCGAGCGUUGUCCGGAAUUAUUGGGCGUAAAGGGCUCGUAGGCGGCCAACUAAGUCGGAUGUGAAAUCCCCAGGCUUAACCUGGGAACUGCAUCCGAUACUGGAUGGCUUGAAUCCGGGAGAGGGAUGCAGAAUUCCAGGUGUAGCGGUGAAAUGCGUAGAUAUCUGGAGGAACACCGGUGGCGAAGGCGGCAUUCUGGACCGAUAUUGACGCUGAGGAGCGAAAGCCAGGGGAGCAAACGGG
rnacentral:rRNA from 1 species